UGGGGAAUAUUGGACAAUGGGCGAAAGCCUGAUCCAGCCAUGCCGCGUGAGUGAUGAAGGCCCUAGGGUUGUAAAGCUCUUUUGUGCGGGAAGAUAAUGACGGUACCGCAAGAAUAAGCCCCGGCUAACUUCGUGCCAGCAGCCGCGGUAAUACGAAGGGGGCUAGCGUUGCUCGGAAUCACUGGGCGUAAAGGGUGCGUAGGUGGGUAUGUAAGUCAGUGGUGAAAUCCCCGAGCUUAACUUGGGAACUGCCAUUGAUACUAUAUAUCUUGAAUACCGUAGAGGUAAGCGGAAUAUGUCAUGUAGUGGUGAAAUGCUUAGAUAUGACAUGGAACACCAAUUGCGAAGGCAGCUUACUAUGCGGUGAUUGACACUGAGGCACGAAAGCGUGGGUAGCAAACA
rnacentral:rRNA from 1 species